rnacentral:snoRNA from 1 species
CCAACACGGAUACCCAGGAGGUCACUUCCCCAGGCUCUGUCCUGGUGGUGCAGGGGAGCAUAGGGCUCUGUCCAGUGAUGUACAGUCCCACUCCACAACGUUGGAGACGAAGCCAGUCCUCGAGCCUGCACCUGCAUAUUCCUACAGCUUCUUCGAGUCCUGUGGACAAUACCUGAGGAGACAAACCAUGCAGGAAACAGCU